CUUGCCACCCCGGCUACGCCUGCAGACUGCCUCCUUCAGUGCCACACUUUGGUAUGCCAGCAGCUGUUCCCAUUUGUCUCUGACUGGGAGACAAACAGAUAAAAUGUGAACUCCAAAUGUGACAUCUAUUAAGGCUCUACAGUUAAAUUUUAAGAAAAAAAUUAAGGAAGUUCCUCUGUAGAUUCAGGUUAUAGUGUUAUAAAGAGAAAUGCCCACUCUCUCCCAAAGGCCCAAAGCCCUUAUCAGAUAUGUCCUUAUAAAUGCAACCAAGAAUUCACUUGAUAUCUCUUUGUAUUCAAUCUGGAACAUGUUCACCACUACCAUUGCUCCCUCCCUCCCCAGCACCAUGAUGGAUUAGUAUGAAGCACUGACAGUGGAGUCUUGGCUCCCAUUCCCACUGUAGGUGCAGAAAGCCCCAGGAUUAAUAAUUUCGUGAUGAGAGAAAGGACAAAAACUACCUUGCUUUUUUUUUUUUUUUUUUAAACUGUCCUUGUGCCUAAGUAAUAAAAUAAAUUCCUUGUAACUUAAAACAUCUGAGGAGGAGAAGGGAAAAAAUAAAGAAGAAAAAAUUAAAGGUUUGAGUGGUAUGAACCGUCAAUCCUCCUAACCAGAAAUUGGGCCACAAUAACUGGGCAGAGCAAUGGGAUUCUGCAUGACUGCUCCAUUUUUCACAUUGUUAUUAAAAAUAAUUUUCCCAGAUUUUUUAGCAGUAGACGUUUUUGAGAUUUGCCUGCUUUUUGUCCUCAGAUCUUUCUUUGAGUUUUGCCACAGACCCUAUUCCACAGCAGGUUCCUUGCCUCCUUUCCCCUUUACAUUUGGAGCGCUUUGGCCCUUCACCCAUUUAAAGGGGAAGGUCUCUUGCUGCUCCCAUAGGCACUGCUUGCUCCCUGAAUAUUUAAAUAGCCCUGCUCCUUUGUGAGCUAUGAGACACCUACAUCAAGGACGAAAGGAUCUAAGCAACGAUCACAAUAUUUAGAUCUAAAAAGUUGUUGAUGGCCAAGUUCACCCUCAACUUAGUUUCUGUGAAUUUGAAAGACUCGCAUGUGGGAUACAUUUGGUCCUCUGUGUUAAAACUGGUGGGCUGACACAUAAUAAGCAGAGACAUUUGAGGGAGUUCAGCAUCUUUCAGGGUAAGGAUUUUUAGAUCUGUACCUUUGUUCCCCAAAGAGGUAAAUGAAUAAUGAAAUCUCCCUGCAGUGUGAACAGCUGAACUUAAUAUAGAGGAAAUUUCUCAAAGAAGUGCCCUGGUGCCUAGCAAAUGUGCCUGUCAAAAAGGGUUGCUCCUUUCUGGGUAUUUGUUUUAGCAAGUCCCAGCCUACAGGAUUACACAGAGUGGCUGAGGAUAGAUUUCUGCUUUAAGCAGGUUUUCAUUUUGUAGCUUUGAAAAUUACACUUUUCAUUAGCAUAAAUGUGACAGCAGAUUAAAGAAUGAAAUUCUAUUUAACAAAAAGAACUUCAAGCUAAUAAUUCUUCAGAUAACCAAGAUACGAAGUUCCGAAGAUCAGCACAAUUUCUUCUAACAGGGUCUCCAUGCAAAGAACAGAAGUCACACUGUGCCUGCCAAAGUCCAGAAGCUUUCCUGCACUGUCAGGCACAUACCAUGUCAAGCAUCCAAGCAGUUGGAGUUGAAAGAAGAAAGAGGGGAGAAGGAACGAAUGACAAGCAGAAUAUAAUUUCAUUAAAGCACACCACUGUGAGAAUUCUCAGCACUGUGAGAGUACAAGGCAGGCUAAUGGGUGAAAUUCAGCCCCACUGCAUAGGGUCAGUCUGGAGGAAGAUCUGCCAUCGACUUCAGCUAGCUGACCCUGACCCCUCCAUCAAUCCAAAGCAGGCUUCAUCUUGAAGUGCCAUCAUUCUUGGCUUUCUUCUGUCAGGAUAGUUCAUA